UUGAAAGGGAAACGAUUGAAGUNCAGUACCCACCAACAAAAAUNCACUUUUCAAUUCAUUUUUNNCUAUANUCUUCAUUUUUCAAUAUCUAUUUUUUUNNUACUUUUUCUAUNUANUCAACUCNUUUUAUCCCAUAAAAUACCNANAAUUACUUCGCUUCNUUAAUUUAUACCUUUUAUAUUUAUUAAACCAGUUCAACAAUACCUUUUAGCUAUCCUCUACCUCUAAAUUACUUAUCCAAACUUCUUACUCAUUUAAUUACNCAAUAAUAAACUAUUACAUUCGUUAAGGAUGUUGACGUA
rnacentral:rRNA from 1 species